AUGCCGGCCAGCAGCCACCCGUCGUCGCCGGCGUCCCCGCUGGAGGACGGCAACCUGCUACGCGAGAUCCUUCUCCGCCUUCCCCCGGAUCCCUCCUCGCUCCCGCGCGCAUCCCUCGCUUGCACGCGCUGGCGCGACCACGUCGCCGACCCGGGAUUCCGCCGCCGCUUCCGCCUCCACCACCGCCGCAACCCUCCCCUCCUCGGCUUCUUCGACGGGUGCGGAAGCCUGGACUUCCUGCCGACGCUGGAGGCACCCGACCGCGUCGCUCCCGAGCGCUUCUCCUUGAAGCACGACGAGGGCGACGGCGUUCGCAGGCCGCUCGGAUGCCGCCAUGGACUGAUGCUCAUCUUGGUCCCGAAGCCUCUCCAGGUAAUCGUGUGGGACCCCGUCACCGGCGACCUGCACCGCCUCGACGUUCCGCCAGGGCUGACGACGAAUGAGUGCUAUGAGAGCGUGAUCAAUGGGGCGGUGCUUCGCACUGCCUCCGAAGACGCCAAGCACUUCCAGGUGGUCAUGGUGGCGGCAGACGGCGACGAGGUGCAAAACCGACGAGCAGUCGCCUGCGUCUACUCGUCGGAGACCGGCGCAUGGGGAAGGUUCAUCACAACACCCAUUCCAUACGAUGCUGAUGCUCAUGCGAGCUGUUUAUUUCGGAGGUUUUCCACCAGCAUUUACAUAGAUCAUGCUGUGCUGGCUGGAGAUUCCCUUUACUGGCAGCUCAUUGGGAAUUACGAAGGAAUUCUCCAGUUUGAUUUGGAGAGGCAGAGGCUGGAUGUAAUGCCGGUGCCGGUGCCUAUCUAUAGCAAGGGCAACUACUUCAAGCUUAUGCCGGCCGAGGGUGGUGGUGGGAUAGGUUUCCUGUUCAUGUUCAAUUCAAACUACAUUGCCCAAUUAUGGAGGAGGAAGACCGAUUCCGAUGGUGUUGCCUCAUGGGUGAUUGCAAGAUCUAUCGAACUCGACAAGGUACUUUCGCUCAAUUCAGAGAAGGAGGAGAACAUGAGGAUAGUAGGGUUUGCAGAGGACAACAACGUGGUACUCGUGGAUAUGCUGAGUGGAUUCUUUAUGAUCCAACUCGACUCACUGCUGUUCAAGAAGCUUCCCCGACCCAAGACGGUGUCCUCCCUUCAUGAUUUCCCCCUUCAUGCAUUAGAAAGCGUCUACACUGCUGAAACACGCAUUGGUGGUGGACAUGAUGGAGCUGAUCUUUUGCCCAAUACAUAA
rnacentral:rRNA from 1 species